UAAGUUUAAAGGGGAAGUCAAGUCCGUUCUGCGCAUCGGUUCUGCGCAUAACAAUAGAGGGCCCUCUGAGGUAAACAUUGCCCAAAUUCUGAAUGUUUCGAAUUUUUCUGAACACAAACUCUAUUUCAUAUUCAUGUAGAAGCAUAACGAACCAAAAUGGUGUUAGAUAUUCAGACAGUACAUCAUAUUUUAAAAAAUACAGCAGUUCAAAAUGUAAACAAACCGUUUGUUUACAUUACGGACUUGACUUCCCCUUUAACAAAAGG